GUGCUUGCCUGGCAUGCAUGAAGUCCUGAGAGCUACCCCCAGCAUUGCAUAAACCAGGACACAGGAGGAUCAAGAGUUCAGAGGUCACAAGGGCCUGUUCCACAAAGUUUUUGCGCUACUCUACUGGCACAACAGAUCCGUUCCCACCAUGCCUGAUCCGCAGCCUGACGUGUCCUUGUCCCCCGCGUGGUCAGAUCUGCAGGUGUUUUAGGGGUUGACGGAGGAUGACGUUGGAGAAGUCUGGCACACUGCCCCACACUCGUUUCUGUUUACCGAGACGACCUGCGGGGAAAGGUAUCAAUGGUGACACGGAGUCUGCAUGAAUCCCGAGGCUAGAUCUCCAGGCAGCCGUGGCUAUGGCUGGCCUAUCAUGGCAGGAAUCCUUCCGACUACAGCUGCUUUGCGCACCCAGGAUGGCAGUGGCCAGCUGAGAAAUUUCAAUGAGAGUCUGCCUCCACAGCUCUCACCUCUGUCGGCCCCUUCACUCCUCCACCCACCUCUCAGUGAGGGAGCCCUCCUGUUUUCUUCACUGAGCCACAGCCUUGAAAGAGCCCUGUGGAUGGCCCCAGGGCCUUCCCAGCUCCCAGCCAGCUGGGCAGAGCCAAGAUAAGGCUGAAAAGAUCCCGGAGGUCACAAUCAUCUGAACCGGAUUCACUUUGUUCCUCCUGCAAAGUAGGGCAUGGUGGCGCCUCUGCACGGGGCCUGUUAGUGUGGAAUUCAUCGCAUCUAGCGAAAGUGAAAAUAAAACAAAAUGAA